rnacentral:rRNA from 1 species
AUUGAACGCUGGCGGCAUGCUUUACACAUGCAAGUCGAACGGUAACAGGCCUUCGGGUGCUGACGAGUGGCGAACGGGUGAGUAAUGCAUCGGAACGUACCCAGAGGUGAGGGAUAACGCAGCGAAAGCUGUGCUAAUACCGCAUGUGAUCUGAGGAUGAAAGCGGGGGACCGAGCAGCAAUGUUUGGCCUCGCGCCUUUGGAGCGGCCGAUGUCGGAUUAGCUAGUUGGUGGGGUAAAGGCCUACCAAGGCGACGAUCCGUAGCUGGUCUGAGAGGACGACCAGCCACACUGGGACUGAGACACGGCCCAGACUCCUACGGGAGGCAGCAGUGGGGAAUUUUGGACAAUGGGCGCAAGCCUGAUCCAGCAAUGCCGCGUGCGGGAAGAAGGCCUUCGGGUUGUAAACCGCUUUUGGCAGGAACGAAACGGUGUCCGCUAAUACCGGGCGCUAAUGACGGUACCUGCAGAAUAAGCACCGGCUAACUACGUG